CCCUCCGUUGGAUCCCUACUACCCCCAUCGUUGCCUAUAAUCAUCUUCUUCGUCAUUGCUACUUCAAGCUGUAACAAAACCCACAAACAUAAUUUCAUAGUUAAUUUUCUCUCACCAAAAUCAAAAACCCAAACCGAAACCCAUCUUCGAAUCUUCAUUUGAAUGAUUUUUGUUCGACAAAAAGAAAUCAUCUUCAACAACACCGACAGGAACAACUUUCUUCCCAUUAAAAACCCACAAAAGAAUUCCCCUCAUAAACAUAGAAUCCAUCUAAUCUUUAGGGCAUGUUCUUGAGUAAAUUCUUUAACCCGAUUUCGAAUCUGACCUCAGAUUAGUGAUUAGUAUGCUAUAAUAUGCAUUACCCAUAAAAUGUUUUGGUAGUCAAAUCAUUUACAAAUUACAAUUUUUUGAUUUAAUGGAGGAGAUUAGAGUUCAUCCGAUUGUAACUGUAUAAACCCAUUAAUCAAUUAGGCGUGAGUUUUGGUUUGUUUGAAGGAUUUGGACAUUUGGGUAUCCAUCAGCAGCUGAAUUGAUCACCAGUUUUGGAUCUGAGUAAUAUGGUAAAUGUGAUUCUACGCUACAUUUAUUAUGAGUGCCUUGCUUCUAAUAAGCUAGAGAGACUGAUUGCUGGUGCUGCUGCAUAUGGUGCACAACUAGUUGUAUUCCAGAGGCAUUUGUUUGUGGUUUUCCCUGUAUUCCCAAUUUUGAUGAUAAAAAUGAAAGGAAUUCGAUUGAGGUCCACUUGGUAAUGGUUCAAGUUUCAUUCUAUCAUCAACUUAGGUAGAUUGAAGUCGUUCCAAUGAUCAAUAAAGAUUAGGUUCAUUGGCCAAGGUCCCAUACGUGGAUUUUACGUUCUUUACUUAGGUUUGCUAUCAUGUUUACAACAUUUUGAUUUUUUCUUUCUAAUUUCAUACAUCUUACAUGUUCAGGGACUCCUAAAUACCAGGAUGCAUUUACUAGUUUCAUAGAUAUGGUCAAUGGGAAACUUGGAAACCCUGAAAUCUUUAUUAGUUGUCAUUGUGUUGAUGGUAGGAAUCUUGCUGUGUGAAUUGCUGGGAACAGUGUUUUUGUCACUUGCAAGGGAUGGACCCUACUUGCAUCCAUUACCCCAGGUGGUAUAUGCACACAUUUGAUUAUCACUAUUAAAUUAUAUAAGCACAUGACUGUAAGUGGUGUUAACUUUCUCUUAGGUCUGACAUUUGUUAAUUUGAUGUUGUGUUAUAACACCCAUAUUACAUUUGUGACCGCAAUUUGCACUACUACUUCAUAAAUUCAUCAAGUUCAGGUCAGUGAAAAAGUUGUCGAUGUGUUCGAUAAAAAGAAGUGCACAAAGCUUACAAAUCUUGAACAUUGUUGAGGAUGGUUGUUCCAUCACAUAUGCCUGUGGAUUCCAGUCAUACUCAAAGCAACAACACCACUUCAAUUCCUAGAACUGAGAGGAGUAAAUCACUGGCAAGUCAUCGGGUAUUUUGAUUUCAACAACAAAAUUUCAAAUUUGACUCGUAUUCAUUUAGAUGAAGAAUCAAUUUUUUGUCUGCAUAAAUAAAUAUAAGGACAAAAGUUACACGUUGUCAGCAAUAGUUUUUCCGGAGACCAAUUUUUUCUCCGUCGGUAGAAAAACAAUCUAUUUGCGACAACAAUUUGUUUGAAUACUAAUAGUUUUAACGGC